CGUGCUGAAAAAGGGAUAAAAAAUACAGCUGAGAAAUAAAAUGGAGGGAAGUAGAAGAGAGGAGAUCGUGCUGAGCGCAGAUUAACUCUGUUCUCUGCAUUUAUUUAGAGAGCUGGUGUGGUGGCCUCAGGCAGAAAUCCCUCCUUACGUGCAUGGGAAUGAGGGAGAGACCCAAGGCCAGGCCUUGCUGGGCAGGAAGUGGAAUUUUCCGAGGGGUUCACAUCCUUCCCUGCGCUUUUUGCCAAGAUUUUCUCUCCUUGCUGCCUCCUAGAGACAUCGGGGAAAAGGCCUUGAAGAUGGGGCGUGCUCUAGGUCUGUUUAAACGGAAUAAUUAAAGAAUGAAGCAGAUGGAAAAGACGGAAGAGGAUAAAGCAGGAACGGAGCAGCACAGAAAACUGCCAGCCCUGCACUAACGCGGUACAGGAGAGAGCACGGAUGCCGGGAGAGACAGAGAGAAAGCAGGCGUAUCGACUCUGCACGUCGCAUUCCUCACAAUUAAAAGAAGUAUUUGUAAUUAAACGGCUGUCAGAAUUUGUGCGUUAAACCUUAUAUUUAAAACGGGGAGAGGAAAUUCAGUUCGCUGUAGUCUCCUCAGGGCUCAGUCCUAGAAGAUGCGAAGCCACUGGCCUCAGGCCAUCUGAGUACUUAAGUCUAUGCGUAAUUUUAAACAUCAGCAGUCCGGGGGAUUUUGAGCAUAUACUCCCUUAAAGUUAACCAUGUACUCAGCACUUUGCAGGAGCCGCCCAGAAUACUCAUAUCAGCUCCUAAGUCAAGAAAGCGAGUAUCUGUACCUCUGAGAAAACAAAGAAAAUCCUGUGAAAAGGGCCAAAGACCUUUUUGAUUUCUAAAAGACGCCGGUUCAUCAGUGCUGGGAACUCAGAUCACAAUGCAAUCGAAUCUCUAGGGGAAGUCAGCUGAAUCUGGGCUUAUUUGUACAAGACCAUCACCGGGCAAAUUCAUUCUAGUAUUUGCGGUGAAGUUCUACAAUGGUGUAGUUUCCACAGCACUGCGACUCAAUCAUAUGAUGUGCUUUGAAAAUCUCUUGCAAAACUUAAUUUUAAGAGAUUUUGUUGAUAUUCUGCAGGCACACACAUAAUCCAGAGAAAGAACACACCAACUAUUAAAUAUUCAUGCUAUGGGGGAGAACGCACUUAGUAACAUCCCUUCGUUUCAGACGUACAAAGGCGGGCACAAAUAACUGAUAGAAAAUGUCAUAAAAUUGCAAUAUUCCACAUAAACAAGGUGUUGACCAGCGUUGAAACAUUCGAUCGUGAACGGGUCAGACUGCAAUUCUACUCGUGCACCUUUCAAUAGUCAUCCAGAAAUGUGUAUUUUCCAAAUGUCAAUUCUGUGAUCUAACCCACAUGGGGAGCUUUAGGACUUCACACACACAGGACUCUGCGUGCAGGGAUGUGACUGAUUUUCUGCUUUUAAGGCUGCCAGCCUGUCAUUUUGUUCAAACAUACAUGCUAUAAGAUUCCCGGCUUCACGAGUUAUAUACCUCAGUGAAAUUUACUUGCAUUAGGAGCAAAAAGUGAAGCACAUUCAGACCAGCUUCAGUGGAACUUUUGGAAUCCAGCACUGGGACUGUGAAACAUGGUCAUUUGGAUCUAACGGUUAUCGGUGACUUCACAGAGACCCACAACCAAACCUCGGCGAUGUUACUUUAUAAAGGUUCAUACUACCACACACACCUCCAGUAAAACAAAAGCUUUGGUCAGAACUCUUGACUUGCCCUGUAAACCAGGAUCCUGAGUUCCAGACAUACUGAAGAAUCAUGAAAAAGAUGUAAUUUUCAAAUAUUUAUUAAAAAACAACCAACAAAACCCUCAAACCUUCAAGGGUUGUUGCUUCCAUUCCUAUAUUUAUAACAAGGUACCUGAGCGAAACGUGCUCAGAAAGAUUCAUAAUCAUUAUAUGUGCUGGUAAGGAGUGUAAUGACAUAUUUUAGGAACCAAAGUGUUUAAAAGUAACCAUUUUUCCUACCUCCAGGAGACAUAACGAAACAGCUAGGUUUUCAGUGGCAUGGGUCCACGUAAUCAUCUGACCCUCCAGAUUCACCUUCUUAUUGUAUUGUUUCACUUAUUUUGUCUAUUUUUAGACUGUAUUUCUUAAGGACUACUGCACACAUACGUGUGGAGUCGUCACAACACUUCACUUUCUGUUUAAACACAGGAAAGACAGCAGGAAAUUAUAGUGAAGCGACAUGAAGAACGAAACUUCGGGAUGUCAGUGAUCGGUGUAACAAUCCGCUGGUGUGACCAACAGGAUCACGGAGUCCUGGGUUCAGCUGUCGUCCGUUAAGAAGCUUCUUAGGGUGUUUUUAAGGACUUUGCAAUACUUCAAAACUCACGACUUUUCCUGCAUCAAUAGCCACAAUGCAGCACCUUUGAAAAUGCAAAAAAAAACCCCUUCAACAAAUAAAACAUGAAGCUAUAGUUGA